rnacentral:lncRNA from 1 species
CCUGCGCCAUCUCGUCCACCUCGGCAUGCGCCUCGGGGCUGUCGUUGAUGUCAGUGACCACGUCUGGGUGCUCGCCGGCUGCAUUGGACUUAACAGAGGUGGAGCCCACUGCCUCUGACUUCGCCGACUUGACGGAGGUGGAGCCCACUGCCUCCGACUUGGCCGACUUGACGGAGGUGGAGCCCACUGCCUCCGACUUGGCCGACUUGACGGAGGUGGAGCCCACUGCCUCCGACUUGGCCGACUUGACGGAGGUGGAGCCCACUGCCUCCGACUUGGCAGACUUGACCGAUGUGCUACCCUCCUCACCCGCCUUGUAGCCGCGCUCGCCGCCCUCGCCAUCCUCGCCACCCUCGCCGGCAGUGGCAGGUGCCGC